AUUCUUAAUAAUUGCUUCCGACACAGGUGCCGAUUGCCUGUGAUUGUGCCUUUCUGGUUAACAUUGUUUACUUUUCUCGUUCUCCCCAUACAUGUAUAUCUGCUGUUCUAACUUUUACAAUUAUCCCAAAAGGCAAAAUAUCAUGUCUCUUAACCAGUUCUCAGUGCCCCAGAUAAGCUGCGUAUCUGCGUCUUUCACCCUAUUAAAAUGUAUAAAAAUGCAAAGAAAUACAAUAUCAUGAGUAUUGAAAACGCAAUGAAUUUGACUUUUACGCAAAUUCGUCAAAUUAACGAUACAAAACUUCGAUUAAAAAUGCUUUGCUCAUUUAAGGUAUUUUCUCUUUGGAAUUAUUAUCGUAACGCGGUGACGCUUACAUUCAGCAAGCCCAGCAAACGGUCAUAGUUAUUCAAACGCUAUGCGUUUUCAAUCUGACCUAAUUCGUCGCUCAUUGUGCAUGUUUUUGUAAAGCGUCUGUACUUUCAGUUUCUAUUACGAUGCAAAAUAAAAAUAGCAGAGAGAGGUCGAAAGACGUCCGAGAUUGUUACGCCCAAAAUAUCAGCCGAUGGCAAACUUUUUCGUAUUAAGAAAGCAAGAGCCAAUAAGUGCCGAAUCAUUUGUGUUAUAGAUUUUGUUAGAAACUGUGUCUACAGCAGUUGAGUUGACAUCCAAAAAACAUGAUGGAAAGUCUGUGACUUAACAAACCUGUCAAAAGUAUAAAAAGGCAUGUCAUUGGUUAGAAAUUGUCAACAUUUUUUAAAGUUUAUAUCAUGGACAGUUUCAAGGAUUAAAGAUAUUACGAAACAUCAGUUUAUUAAAAUUUAUGAUGAUAGUUUACAGUUCUAUUGAAUCAAUACAAGUGUGCAGCGUCAACGGAAGUAAAUCAGCAAUUAUUUUAAGGUGGACUUCAAUAUGUAUGAUCUAGUUAUGCUGCCAUAAUGUAAAGGCAACAAUCACUGGGUUUUGCUGGUUGCAAGUGUUAUGUCCAGGACUGUAUUCAUUUAUGACUCGUUGGGUGGUAACAACAAGGCCUUGUUCGAUUUGUUCUGCCAGUUCAUGUGUCAACGAGCGCAAAUUGUGAAAGGUGGUUUGGAAAAAUUCAGUUCAGAGUUCAAAGCGCCACCUUGCAACAAACAGCGCCAUGGAAACAGCUGUGGAGUGUUUGCAUUGAUGACUGCCAAAUGUUUGGUCAUGAAAAAGCAUCCCACAAUAUUGCGACAGGCCCAUGAUUCAGUUUAUCGAGACUAGUCCUGAGACGCAGACUUCUGAUUCAUGGAGUGCGGCAAACAUAUCUGUGCGACUCGAUCACUUCACUGUAAAGACCCGCACGACAUUAAAAUGGAAAUUAUCAAUAUGUGUUGUUUCUCGAAAAUAAGUUUUUGUAGCAGGAAGUGCUUCGGGCUCGAUUAAUCUGAGAACUCAACAAAAUAUUAAUAAAAUCCUUCUGUGCCAAAAACAUAUUGACUUAAAAUAAAUAAUCCCGAUGGCGUAAAUGACUUAUCAUUUCAUGUUCACGAACCGGUUUUAAAAUACUUUGUAGACUUAUCUGCUAGGCGGUGAGGACUUUUAGACCACCUGAUAAACUUCAACUUUAUUUGCCCUAGUUCAGUAACCGACUAAAGAUAUGCUAACAUAAUACUGAUGACUGAAGAGUCUGUUGUGUCUUAUAUUCUCAUUGCUACUUAAAAUAUUAAGUCUAUUUCAACGUUUAGACUAAUAAUAAGCAAAUUCGUUAAAUUGAUAUCCCCCGCCAAAUAAAUUUUGAUUAUUGAUGGGUGCAGAACUAACAGAAAAGUUUAUUUGAAGGGUUGUACCCUUAUCUCACUUAUUUAAAAGCAACAACAUAAAAAAACAAAACAAUUGGCAAUAACUCUUAUUUAAGAAAGUGUAGAGUUAUAGAUUUUGUGCAUGACACCUCUCCUCAUUGAUAUCUUAACAUCCAUUAAAUUUCAUCUUUAACUCAUGUAUUGUAUCUGUGAUAGAGUCCUGUAAAGUAACAUCUGACAUGUACAUAUGUACUAGGGUUAUGUUUCUUGUGCAUGGCACUUAUUCUCAUUGACAAUUAUACACCCAUAAAAUUUCAUGUUGAAAUCUUGUAUUUAUAGUUUCUGAGAUAAAGCCCUGAAAAGUUACAUCAUACAAAAACAACAAAGGGCAAUAACUCUUAUUUAAGAAAGUGAAGGGUUGUGGUUCUUAUGCAUGGUUCUAUAAAUGAGAUAUAGCCCUGAAAAGUUACAUCAUAAAAUAACAAUAAUUAGUAAGGGCAAUAACCGUUAUGUAAGAAAGUAUACGGUUAUGGUUCUCGUGCAUUGAUAAUUAUACACCCAUUAAGUUUCAUUUUAAAAUCUUAUAUAGUAUCUGAGAUAUAGCCCUAGUUACAUCAUACAAAAACAACAAAGCGCAAUAACUCUUAUAUCAGAAAGUGACGGGUUAUGGUUCUUGUGCAUGGCACCUCUCCUCAGCUAUAUUUAUACACCCAUAAAGUUUCAUGUUGAAAACUUAUAUUGAGUUUCUGAGAUAAAGCACUGAAAAGUU